rnacentral:tRNA from 1 species
GUGUAGCUCAAUGGUAGAGCACUUACCUAGUAUGUGUGAGGCUCUGGGUUUGAUCCUCAGCAC